UACGUAGGGUGCAAGCGUUGUCCGGAAUUAUUGGGCGUAAAGAGCUCGUAGGCGGUCUGUCGCGUCGGCUGUGAAAACCCGGGGCUCAACCCCGGGCCUGCAGUCGAUACGGGCAGACUAGAGUGCGGUAGGGGAGACUGGAAUUCCUGGUGUAGCGGUGAAAUGCGCAGAUAUCAGGAGGAACACCGGUGGCGAAGGCGGGUCUCUGGGCCGUAACUGACGCUGAGGCGCGAAAGCCAGGGGAGCAAACGGG
rnacentral:rRNA from 1 species